rnacentral:rRNA from 1 species
GAUCAUGGCUCAGGACGAACGCUGGCGGCGCGCCUAACACAUGCAAGUCGAACGAGCGAGAGAGAGCUUGCUUUCUCGAGCGAGUGGCGAACGGGUGAGUAACGCGUGAGGAACCUGCCUCAAAGAGGGGGACAACAGUUGGAAACGACUGCUAAUACCGCAUAAGCCCACGGUGCCGCAUGGCACAGAGGGAAAAGGAGUAAUCCGCUUUGAGAUGGCCUCGCGUCCGAUUAG